AUUGAACGCUGGCGGCAGGCCUAACACAUGCAAGUCGAACGAGUGGCGGACGGGUGAGUAAUGUCUGGGAAACUGCCUGAUGGAGGGGGAUAACUACGGGAAACGGUAGCUAAUACCGCAUACCAUCGGAUGUGCCCAGAUGGGAUUAGCUAGUAGGUGGGGUAACGGCGCACCUAGGCGACGAUCCCUAGCUGGUCUGAGAGGAUGACCAGCGACAUUGGAACUGAGCCACUGUCCAGACUCCUACGGGAGGGAGCAGUGGGGAAUAUUCCACAAUGGGCGCAAGCCUUAUGCAGCCAUGCCGCGUGUCUGAAGAAGGCCUUCGGGUUGUAAAGUACUUUCAGCGGGGAGGCGUUACCCGCAGAAGAAGCACCGGCUAACUCCGUGCCAGCAGCCGCGGUAAUAC
rnacentral:rRNA from 1 species